CGAAAGUUAGAGGGUCGAAGGCGAUCAGAUACCGCCCUAGUUCUAACCAUAAACGAUGCCAGCCAGCGAUCCGGCUGUGUUCCUCAAAUGACACGCCGGGCAGCUUCCGGGAAACCAAAGCUUUUGGGUUCCGGGGGAAGUAUGGUUGCAAAGCUGAAACUUAAAGGAAUUGACGGAGGGGCACCACCAGACGUGGAUGUUGCGGUUCAAUUUGACUCAACGCAGCAAAUCCUACCAGGCCAGGACACAGGAAGGAUUGACAGAUUGAGAGCUCUUUCUUGAUUCUGUGGGUGGUGGUGCAUGGCCGUUCCUGGUUCGUGGAGCGAUUUGUCUUGUUUAUUCUGAUAACGGACGAGAUUCUAGCCUACUAAAUAGACGCUUCGAUCCUUCGAGUCGAGCGUUCUUCUUAGAGGGACAGGCGGUGUUUAGCCGCACGAGGCAGAGCAAUAACAGGUCUGUAAUGCCCUUAGAUGUCCUGGGCCACACGCGUCCUACAUUGAAGGAAUCAACGUGUGCUUUCCCUGUCCGAAGGGACUGGGUAACCCGUUGAACCUCCUUCGUGCUGGGGAUAGGAAAUUGUAAUUAUUUUCCUUGAACGAGGAACUUCUAGUAAGCGCGAGUCAUCAUCUCGGGUUGAUUAGGUCCCUGCCCCUUGUCCACACCGCCCGUCGCUAUUACCGAUUGAAUGAUUUAGUGAGGUCUUCGGACUGGCGCUCGGAUUGGCCUUCGGGUCGAGCCGGCGUGCCGGAAAGAUGACCGAACUUGACCAUUUAGAGGAAAUAAAAGUCGUAACAAGG
rnacentral:rRNA from 1 species